rnacentral:snRNA from 1 species
GUGCUUGCUUUGGCAGUACCUAAAGUUGGAACAAUACAGAGACUAUUAGCCCCUGCACAAGAAUAACAUGCAAAUUCAUGAAGCAUUAAAAUAAUAA